GACGGAAGUUACGGAGAAGUAGGAUACGGUUCUAGCUACGAAAAAGGCGGAUAUGGCGGCAGUUUGGGUGGAUAUGGCGGUAGUAUUGGCGGAUAUGGUGGCAGUAUGGGUGGAUAUGGCUCAAGUUAUGGCGGAUAUGGUGGCAGUAUGGAUGGAUAUGGCGGGUAUUCUGGAUAUGGAAAGGGACAUGGUGGUUAUUCUAGUUACGACAAGAAAACAGUCCACGGAUACGGCAAACAGGGAGGUUUCGUCGAUGAAACAAUCCACCUUCUACAACACCCAGUACCAAUGCCGGUCGCAGGUCCAUAUGCAGGAGGUAUUUCAUACAGUGGUGAUGAUGGCGGUAUACUCAGUGGUAUGUUCGGUGCUAGUGAAACAACAAUGUUCUUUGGAGUUAUCUUAUUGUUUGCUUUACUGAGAAACAACAACAAUGAUUAAAUACCAUAACGACGAUAUAUGUAAUUGAAAUGUCAUAUAUACCAGCAGUGUGUAAAAAGACUGAAGAAAAGACUUGUUUUAAGAUUAGAUAUCAGUGUAAACUGAAAAUCAAAUGAGGCUCGCUACUUCGCGAGUAGAACAAUAAUGGAAAUAUGUCAAAAACUCGAAUGUGAAUUGUCUGGAAUACGAUAAACUACGAUCUUCAAUAACGAUAAUAUAAAUUGUCAUGAAUAUGUCAAACUAAGGUCUUCAAUAAUGCAAAUAUAGUUUUUUCGUGAAUAUGUCAAACUAUUUAUAUGAUUUUCAAUAACAAUUCAUAAAACCGUCAACAAAAUAGAUCGUCGAAAAGUCGACUAGAAAGGGCAACAGGCAAAAAGGUAUCCGCGAAAAUAAGUUGGUUUACAAUAUUGUUGAACUUCUUUAUUUUAUUGAUAUAGAAACAAAAUCCAAACUAUCAACGAAUAAAAAUUGUUUUUUUCUCUAUUUACUUUAUGUUUUAGCGUAAUUCAUAGUAUUCAACACAUAACUAAAAACUCAUGAAAUUGUUUACCUUUGAAACCCUUUUACUUAAUUCCAAGUUAAACUAAUUUUUAUCCUUCUAAGGUAAACAAAAAACUUUUAGAUUGGUUGACGAUAUUAAUUAAGUAAUAUUAGACUUGAAAAAUUGUCACAUUCAUUUAUUUGACAAAUACUUUUUCUCCAAUGACGAAACAGAUUUUGAAUUAUAAUGUCUGAUUUUGUUUUUAAACGUGGCUAUAACUGUGAACAUUAUUGGCGGCCUGAUCAUCUGUAAAUAGCAUUCUUGAGGUAAUCUCAACAAAUUUUAUAGCAAACUUUUCAAUAAU